rnacentral:lncRNA from 1 species
UUAAAGUUAAAUGUCCUGAAAUAAUUAUGUUUUUCAGAAAAAAUGAGCAUGCUUGGUUGAUUCUCUCCUUUUCCUGAGGUGUAUCAAAAUCCUGAUCUUCUUGAAGGUAAGAAAUAAGGUCCUGACUCUUCCAUGGUUAAAUUUUCCAUUCUGAAGAAACAAGGACAUUUUCCCUGAAGAAUGUAAAGAAGCUUGGUGUGAACUGACUCAAUAAAAUGAAGCCUAGGAUAAAAGUCA